rnacentral:rRNA from 1 species
UACGGGGGGGGCAAGCGUUGUUCGGAAUUACUGGGCGUAAAGGGCUCGUAGGCGGCCAACUAAGUCAGACGUGAAAUCCCUCGGCUUAAACCGGGGAACUGCGUCUGAUACUGGAUGGCUUGAGUUUGGGAGAGGGAUGCGGAAUUCCAGGUGUAGCGGUGAAAUGCGUAGAUAUCUGGAGGAACACCGGUGGCGAAGGCGGCAUCCUGGACCAACACUGACGCUGAGUGAGCGAAAGCCAGGGGAGCAAACGGGG